AUGUCAAGAGUCGAAGCAGAACGAAAAAAGGAUAAAAAUGUAAGAAAAGAAGUCCACCAGUACAUAAAACUCGUGGCCAACAAGGUUAGGCCAUGUCAGCAGACACGAGCUGUGUUGGCACCAUCGUCUCUCCCAUAUGAAGAAGUAGAGGACAACAUAGGCAGUCCUUGUUCCCUGACAUAA